UUGGAGGACAAGUCUGGUGCCAGCAGCCGCGGUAAUUCCAGCUCCAAUAGCGUAUAUUAAAGUUGUUGUGGUUAAAAAGCUCGUAGUUGAACCUUGGGCCUGGCUGGCCGGUCCGCCUCACCGCGUGCACUGGUCCGGCCGGGCCUUUCCCUCUGCGGAACCCCAUGCCCUUCACUGGGUGUGGCGGGGAAACAGGACUUUUACUUUGAAAAAAUUAGAGUGCUCAAGGCAGGCCUAUGCUCGAAUACAUUAGCAUGGAAUAAUAGAAUAGGA
rnacentral:rRNA from 1 species